rnacentral:rRNA from 1 species
AGAACGAACGCUGGCGGCAGGCUUAACACAUGCAAGUCGAGCGCUGUAGCAAUACAGAGCGGCAGACGGGUGAGUAACGCGUGGGAACAUACCCUCCGGUUCGGAAUAACUCAGGGAAACUUGAGCUAAUACCGAAUACGGUCGAGAGGCGAAAGAUUUAUCGCCGGAGGAUUGGCCCGCGUUCGAUUAGCUAGUUGGUGAGGUAACGGCUCACCAAGGCGACGAUCGAUAGCUGGUCUGAGAGGAUGAUCAGCCACAUUGGGACUGAGACACGGCCCAAACUCCUACGGGAGGCAGCAGUGGGAAUAUUGGACAAUGGGCGAAAGCCUGAUCCAGCCAUGCCGCGUGAGUGAUGACGACCUUAGGGUUGUAAAGCUCUUUCGCUAGGGACGAUAAUGACGGUACCUAGACAAGAAGCCCCGGAUAACUUCGCGCCAGCAGCCGC